rnacentral:lncRNA from 1 species
AAAAACAAAAGGGGCUCGCACUGAGCCUGCAGAGGUUAGUUCUAUAUAUACAUUAAGUUCUAUUUUACUUGAUUAAUGUUUCUCCUAAAUUAGUUCUUAAAAUUUUCAUUCCGAUGAGACCCUUUUUGUGGCGUGUAUAUAUACAAUUUGUUCGAGGGGGAUAUUAGGAGGAAAUAGCAAGUGGAAGAAGAUUUCAGAAACAGAUAAAGGUGGGAGAAUUGGGGGAAGAACCCAUUUGAUUUUAAUAUAAUUUUUUACGAUGCUACAAAUGCAAACUAAAUGAUUAUGCUAUUUUCCUCAAUGGACAUAUUGUUCUUUAGUGUGCUGAUUUUUUUGGCCAUUUUUUGAGCCUUAGUAAUUAGAGAGGUAGGUCCCAUGCAAGAUCCAGUUUGAAGUUGCUGUACAGGAUUUUUAAGUUAUGAGCAUUUUUAUCUUUCUUAAAAAGGUGCAAGAUCACGCGAUAACCUGAAAGGAUAUCGAAUUGGAGCAGUCGAAAUUGCGGGCAGUGUUCAGAAUUCAGAAUGGUGGGUGUGUUCUAGUUUUCAUUUUCAGCAGUCAGGCCUAGGUGCUAUUUCCGAGCUGCGUAUACUGUCGAGUUUGCUCUAGCCAAUUUUGAUGAUUGCAUCUCUUCUUUUGAGAUGCUGAAAUGAGAUUAAAGCUUACCGGCCGGUUUAGGAUUUCUAGAAGGGUCUGAUUCGGUUGCUGGUUUAACUUCUGAUGAAGUUGAUCUCUGCUUCAUCGCGUCGCCGUUGGUAUGGCUGCUCUAUUUGUGUCAGCUUAUUGUUUCUUUAAAAUAAUUUUCUGACGGCAUAUGCAGUAUUAUUUUUCCUUGCAACAUUCUAGCUCUUAACUAUCGCCAACUCAAUUUCAUGUGCUCUUGUCAUAUUAUUAGUAAUAUCUGAAGAUGCUGGAGAAGUGCAUGAAUCUAUGCUGUAACUGGAAUGUUAGUAGUUAUAAUUUGGAUUUAAACGUGUCGGUUGAGGUUAUCAAGUUCGUUCGAUUCAAUUUACUGAUGCUAGCAGGGUUCUAGGCUUAACAAUUUAGUUUGCUUAUUGCUUACAAGGGAACAGAAAUAAGAUCUAACAAGCAAAUUUACUGAUAUUGGAAAAAAACACAACAUAGUACUAGCUUUCAUUACAUUCUAGAUCAGAAGCAGCUAAAGGAUGCUUAAUUAACCCGACCUACUUUGCAUUUAUUCAAGACUUGAUCGUACCAUUCAUGUCUUAAUAUUGAAGCCCUCAUGAUUAUAGUUAGCUCUAACUCUGAGACAUUUCAGGCGAUAGCAGAAGUAGCACCAAAUAUCUACAGCUUGUGCUUAGUUACCGGACUAAAUUGAAAUUGUAGGAAGGUUCAGGGAGCAUGGGAACGUCAGUGGCUCCAUCGAGCAUCUGCGUUACCUUUAGCAUUGUAGGCCUCAACGAUGGCUCCUCUUGUACGCACCACAAGGCCACCGUUACGAACUUCUCCACCCUCUUCAUGUCGGCCAUGGCUUCUUCGUCGCCAUCCACCACCAAUUCCACCUUCCCUUCUCUGUAGCAGUCGUUCACCCAGUAUGUCAGUAUUGCCUUCUCCUCAUCUUCAAUCUCUGCUUCCACGUUCCUUCUGCAACAUAUGAUUUCCAGUAAAAUGACCCCAAAACUGUAGACGUCCACCUUGGAUGUGAUUCCCAAGUUCCUGAACCACUCGGGCGCAACGUACCCUCGAGUCCCUCUGAUGCCGGUGUUCGUCUGAGUUUGGUCCGUCUUAAGAAGCUUUGCCAGGCCGAAGUCCGAGAUCUUCGCGACAAAGUUUCCGUCAAGGAGUAUGUUUUGAGGCUUUAUAUCACAGUGGAUGAUCUGAGUGCUGCACUCUUCAUGCAAGUAGAGCAGGCCCCUUGCGACCCCUAGUGCUAUCUGGACUCGACGGUUCCAAUCAGGCCUCGGACCUUUGAAAAGGAAUUCCGUCAAUGAUCUGUUGCUCAUGAACUCGUAGACUAGAAGCCGCUCUUUUCCUUCAUUGCAAUACCCGAGCAGUCGGACGAGGUUCUUGUGGUGGGUCUUCCCGAUCGUCUGCAUUUCAACGGCGAACUCCUUUUCGGUCUCACGUAAGACCUUGUCAAUUUUCUUGACUGCGAUACAAGUGUCGCCUUCGCCAUGCAAGUAUCCUUUGUAUACCACACCGGAGGCCCCGCUGCCGACCUCCUCACUGAACCCGUUUGUCGCUUUCUCGAGCUCUCCGUAGGUAAAGCAGCGGAGACCAAGCCCAAUCGUGCUCGGGUCAGGACCUGGCUUCUCAUUCCUUCGCAUGUGGGAGGGGUAGAAGGAGAUGAAAAUGAUUAUGGAGAUGAGAAGAAGGUUUACAAAUGCAGAGCUCCCUAAAAGCACAGAACCCACCAAGAUCCAAGUCUUUUUAUCAUUCUUUUUGCUCAUUGUUGGUUGUAUCUGUGAAGUGUUCCCUUUGGGUACUUUGAUUAGAAGUGUUCUUUGGACGUAAUUGCCGACCUUUCCAUUGGACAUGGGGAGCUUCUUCUUCCAGCAGUCCUGAUCAUUAUACACCACAACAGCGCAAAAGCAAUCGCUCAAGCAAUUGUUCCGACAGAGGUCAUUACUGAGGGGUUGGUAAUGCUCAUAAUCUGCCAAAGGCCAAUCUACAUUUUUCAGCUCAACCAUGUCGAACAAUCCCUGAUCCGCCUCUGUCCCCUCUGCAUAACAAUUCUGCACCGGGAAAUUGGGCAUACAACCUUUAUAUUUUCGGCUCGGAUCCAGGAAGGAAUAGUGAGGCGGGCACUCGCAAUCCACGCUCUGAUUCCCGUUUAACUUGCAGAAGCUGUUGAACCCGCAGACGCCACUCCCAGUUUUCGUGAACAUCGCCUGACAGAUGUCCGGAGGUUGGAGGUCCACCACCGACCACCCUCUGUUUGUGCCGUUCUUUGGAUACACAUAUUGCCGGAGGACCCCGUCCGGAUCAAGUGUUGCUCUUUGGUAGAACAUAGACAUCGGCUUGCUCCCCGCGGAGACAACUUGGAAGUUUUUGCCGUUCGCGAGAGCCAGGUAGAUGCUGCCCGUCUCGUUGUAGACCAACUGCGUUCCGUUCCCAACGGUGCUGCUUGCCCAGUAUGGAUCGUACGAGUAUCCCGAGGGCUGCACGACGGGGUAGAACACGAGAUUUCCAUCCUGUUGGACGUUGAGAAUAAACCUCCCGGCCGAAUAGUUGGUAUCCAUUAGCCGGGCUUGGAGCACGCUACCCAGGCCGAGUACUUGGGAAGGCAACACGGUGUCAGAGGGAUGGUCAAAACUCCGCCAUGAGAAAGACCCGUCAGAGUUGGCGAGCACGAAGUUGCCUGUGUCGAGCAUGGCGGCGUAGGUGACGGUGCUACUCGUUCCGCCGGUCCAUACCUCUUGACCAGCUUGGUCCACGAGGGAGAGGUACCCGUCGGAAGUGAACUGCAGUUUGGAUCCGGACUGUACCGGCUGUACUGGCUGGGUGCCGCCGGGGUACCAAACAGUGGUCUUGUUGGGUAUCUUGUCGAACCAGAUGGCGAGGAGGAAGAGGUUGGGGUCGGUGUCGAGGGGGCGGAAGCCGAAGGCGAAGUCCCCGGAGGGGGAGGGCCAGGAGGUGGUGCCACCGACCGGGGUGAGGGUGGAGCCCAGGGUUAUAUUACUGUUGGAUUGAGCAAGCGAAUUAGGUACGAUAGGAAGCACAAGGACGAAGAGGGAGAGCAAAAGGGGAGAUGAGAUUGCCAUUGUUUCCUCUCCAGGGAUGGAUUGGGUGCAAUAAUAUUAUUAUUAUUAGAACUAGAAUUAUUGGUGGUGACAAAGUGACAAAGGGGGGACAUCACUCUGGUUGCGACCGCGACGACCUGGACUAAGGGUUGACUUGGAAUACACAUUUGUAUUUUCGUGAUUAUGUGGACAUGCGGAAGGCUGUGGUUAUUGGAUGGGUUGCGUGGUUGAACAGUUCCAUGGAAAGCGAGUGACAACUGACAACGCACAACAGUUAAUAAGUAGAAAAGGAUUUUUUUUGGGGGGGGGGGGCGAUUACAUUCGUCAUAUAGUAUGGUACAGAUUUUUAUCUUUUAUUAUGUCAUCUUUGUUGUUAACUUUUUCAUUGUGCCAAUGACCAUUCCUAACUUAAAAGAUAAAAAAUUUGAUAGUUGGUCUCUGAGAUUUCAAUUUCGAAUCCUAGUUGAUUCACAUCUUUAAUUAAGUUUAUUUUAAAAAUAAAUAAACGAAGCGGGUAACAUGCUAUCUUUCUCUUUCUCUCAAAAGAAAAGAAGAACUUUUUCAUAAUGCCACUGAUCUCUACCGCACCUGUGAGCAAGAAUGUAAUGAGAUACUAAACAACUUUCUACUGUAGUGGAGGAGGUAUUUUUAGUUAAAAUUUUGUGAUUUUUUCCUGUUUUCUCUGGAGCUUUGGCUUCUUUUGGUUGUGUAGUUCUACAUGCCAAACAAUCAUCUUCAUAAUACUUUUGAAUAUAUAUAUACUGCUUGCCAUUUGAAAUAACAAUAAGAUUAGUGAAACAAGUGAUAUUUAGCUUGGUUUGAGUAAAAUUAUAAUAAAUUGAUAUGCCGAUGGAGUUGUGAACUGUUGAGGUUGCAAGUAGUCCAUCCACAACAUGCUUUGUGCAUUGUAAUUGCCCCCUUUUUUUUGUUCUUAAUUUAUUAAAAUUUUUAUCGACUGUCUCUAACGUAAGUGGUAAAAGAUUUGGUGGUUGCUACCCGAGGUUUCAAGUUUAAAUUUUAUUUGAUUCAUAUUUUUAACUAAGUUUAUUUCUAAAAACAAUAAAUGAAGCGGGUAGCAUAUUAUCCUUUUUUCAAAAAAAAAAGGUUUAUUAAAAUUUUCUCAACAGCUUUCUAUUGUAAAUUUACAAUUAGAUAUUUUUUGCUUUGCAUUUUGGAUCCACAAGCUUAUCUCAGACUCUGAAAUAAAAAUUCUUUCGGCUAGGCUUUUUAUAUUCCAAAUGUCUAGUUAAUAACCACUUAGGAAAAGAGAUGAUUCUUUUUUCUUUUUUUUAAAAAAAAUAUAAGUCAAACCAUGGAAUCAUCUGUGCUAUGACUGGAUGACUACAAUUCCAUGUUUGUUCUUGAAACUUUAAUGGAGAUGUAGCUUGUUUCUUGGCGAAGAUGUGCAUUCUUUCUUUUCUUCUGAUAAUUUUCCUCUCUUUCAAGCCAUUCAGCUGUGAUCAAGGAUAUCUGAAAGGAUCUGAUCGGGUCACUGGUUUAACUUCUGAUGAAGUGGAUCUCUGCUAUAUUGGCGUCACGAUCGGUACGGCCGCUCAAUUUCAUUCGAUUCAAGUUACUUAUACUAGCAGGUGUCUAGGCUUAAUUAACAAUGUAUUUUGCAUGUUGCUUGCAAGGGAACAAAAAUAAGAUCUAGUGAGCAAAUUUACGGACGGUGGAAAAGAUACAAGAGAGUACUAGCUUUCAUUACAUUCAAGAGGCUUAGUUAGCCUGAUGUACUCUGCAUUUGAUUAAGACUUGAACGUACAUUUCAAUUCUUAAGAUUGAAGCCCUCGUGAUUACAACUAGCUUUUAUUCUAAGACAUUCUCAGGGCAGAAGCAGCUCUAAAUUAUCUACAGCUGGUGCCAGAAGUUAAUGAAGGCUCAGGGGGCAUGGGAACAUCCACGGCUCCUUCGAGCAUCUGCGUCACCUUUCGCAUGGUAGGCCUCAACGACG